AUACGGAGGAUCCGAGCGUUAUCCGGAUUUAUUGGGUUUAAAGGGUGCGCAGGCGGAUUAUUAAGUCAGUUGUGAAAGUUUGCGGCUCAACCGUAAAAUUGCAGUUGAUACUGGUAGUCUUGAGUGCAGCAGAGGUAGGCGGAAUUCGUGGUGUAGCGGUGAAAUGCUUAGAUAUCACGAAGAACUCCGAUUGCGAAGGCAGCUUACUGGACUGUAACUGACGCUGAUGCUCGAAAGUGUGGGUAUCAAACAGGAUUAGAUACCCUGGUAGUCCACACAGUAAACGAUGAAUACUCGCUGUUUGCGAUAUACAGCAAGCGGCCAAGCGAAAGCAUUAAGUAUUCCACCUGGGGAGUACGCCGGCAACGGUGAAACUCAAAGGAAUUGACGGGG
rnacentral:rRNA from 1 species